rnacentral:rRNA from 1 species
GUGAGGAAUUUUCCGCAAUGGGCGAAAGCCUGACGGAGCAAUGCCGCGUGAAGGAUGAAGGCCUAUGGGUUGUAAACUUCUUUUCUUUGAGAAGAAUAUUGACGGUAUCUGAGGAAUAAGCAUCGGCUAACUCUGUGCCAGCAGCCGCGGUAAGACAGAGGAUGCAAGCGUUAUCCGGAAUGAUUGGGCGUAAAGCGUCUGUAGGUGGCUUCAAAAGUCUCCUGUCAAAGAUCAGGGCUUAACCCUGGGCCGGCAGGAGAAACUCUGAGGCUAGAGUUUGGUAGGGGCAGAGGGAAUUCCCGGUGGAGCGGUGAAAUGCGUAGAGAUCGGGAGGAACACCAAAGGCGAAAGCACUCUGCUGGGCCACAACUGACACUGAGAGACGAAAGCGAGGGGAGCAAAAGGGAUUAGAUACCCGAGUAGUCC